rnacentral:rRNA from 1 species
UACAGAGGGGGCAAGCGUUGUUCGGAAUUACUGGGCGUAAAGGGCGCGUAGGCGGCCUGUUAAGUCGGACGUGAAAUCCCUCGGCUCAACCGGGGAACUGCGUCCGAUACUGGCGGGCUUGAAUUCGGGAGAGGGAUGUGGAGUUCCAGGUGUAGCGGUGAAAUGCGUAGAUAUCUGGAGGAAUACCGGUGGCGAAGGCGGCAUCCUGGACCGGCAUUGACGCUGAGGAGCGAAAGCUAGGGGAGCAAACGGG